rnacentral:rRNA from 1 species
UACGGAGGGUGCAAGCGUUAUCCGGAUUUACUGGGUUUAACGGGUGUGUAGGCGGACUUUUAAGUCAGCGGUGAAAUCUCCGGGCUCAACCCGGAAACUGCCAUUGAUACUAUUGGUCUUGAAUGUUGUUGAGGUGGGCGGAACGGGUCAUGUAGCGGUGAAAUGCAUAGAUAUGACCCGGAACACCGAUUGCGUAGGCAGCCCACUAAGCAACGAUUGACGCUGAGGCACGAAAGCGUGGGGAUCAAACAGG